rnacentral:rRNA from 1 species
CCCUUAGAUGUUCUGGGCCGCACGCGCGCUACACUGACGAAUGCAACGAGCUUAUAACCUUGGCCGAAAGGUCUGGGUAAUCUCCAAAUUUCGUCGUGAUGGGGAUAGAUUAUUGCAAUUAUUAAUCUUCAACGAGGAAUGCCUAGUAAGCGCAAGUCAUCAGCUUGCGUUGAUUACGUCCCCGCCCUUUGUACACACCGCCCGUCGCUCCUACCGAUUGAAUGGUCCGGUGAAGCGUUCGGACCGUGGCCUUUGGACGGUUCGCCGUCUGUUGGCUGCGGGAAGUUCGUUAAACCUUAUCAUUUAGAGGAAGGAGAAGUCGUANCA